rnacentral:lncRNA from 1 species
CGAUUCUUCUGAGUCACCGCGUGUAAUGAGACAUAUCAUUUUGGCUCCGCCCACAGCGCAUAAAUCCUGUACUGAACCUUCUGCUGCGUGAGAACGUCGGACAUCGAACGCGGAGUCAUGGAUCAGCAGCACAGUAACGGUGAUGCCCGGACGUCUGCGGCAGACAGUCUGGAGUUCAAACUCCUCAUGGCAUACACGCGCAAGAGACGACCCGCCGACACCCUCCUGCAGCAGGACGUCCCGUCUUCACCACAGCCGGCUGACGAUCACAGCAAACUGAAGAAAAAUAAAAGAAACAAGAGACUGUCUUUCCUCUUAAAGUGUAUUAAACCACAGACAGAUGAACCAGCACAUGUACAGCAGCCAGCGACCCUAGCGGGUUCGGAUGAUGGGAAAGUGGAUGAGAUGGAGAACAUGGUCAGUGAACUGACAGAGAUAUCAGACUCUGUGCACUUCACUCCAUCUGAUAUAGAACCAGACUCUGAUGCAGAUGUUGUGGAAAAGCUGGUUGAGCUCCUCAGAGAACAUGGCGAUAAACUGGACAAAAAGGUCAGUGAAAUCAAAUGAGCACUCAUGAUGCCAUUUAAGCUGAGCUGUAAAUCCUGA